UCUUCUGAAUUGGCAAAUGCGACAAGCAAAGAUGAUGAAUCAGCUGCUACUAGGAUUAAGGGCAACAGCAAGCCAAAUUUCUCAGAUUUAGAACGUCAGCUAUUUGAUCAAAGUCUGUUACGGCUGUGGCGCACAGGAGCAAUAUGGGAGGCUUGGAAAGCUGAAGAAGACGACGAGAGAGAGCUUGCUGAACAUACAAGCUCUGUUGAAGAAUGUUGGCUUAGUGUCAAUGUAGACGUGGCUAGACUGUCGAACAUAUGAGAAAAAGCCAACAUUAAAACGAGUUAGUGAUUUUGUGCUAGUAAAUCCUGUUGUUCAUCAAGAGUUCAAUGAUUUUGCAAAAGCUGAAAUAACACCAGAAUUGCAAUUACUACUAGACGUGGACUUGAUUAAGGUCUGGGAAACUGACAAAGCACUCUCAUUGCCAAGGGUGUCUCGAUAUCAAAACGUGUAUGUCAGCAUCAGCAGCUCUCAACUUGAUGACCUAUGUCUGUGGGUAUAUGAUAUGAGAAAGCUGUAUAACAGUAAAGGAAGAAGUUUGUUUGAGGUAGUUAAUAAGAGAGCAAGUAUGCUUCAAACAUUGUCUAGUCUAACAUCAGCUGCCGAGAGUUCACAAAGAUGGGUACAUGGUCUGGAUCUCAAUGAAACUGAUAAAUGUAUUAUACAAGGCAAGUGUGCUGACGGCUUUCUAACUGACAAACACAUGCAUGCUGCUUAUCAGCUUCUAUUAAAGCAGUUUCCCUACAUCAGUGGACUAGAGUCAACACUCCUUUGCCAGACUUACGGAUUCGCUCAUGUAACAAGUGAUGGUAUGAAAUAAAUACCCCUCUCACUGACAUGACACAC